AACGAACGCUGGCGGCAUGCCUAACACAUGCAAGUCGAACGAGAUCUUCGGGUCUAGUGGCGCACGGGUGUGUAACACGUGGGAAUCUGCCCUUUGGUUCGGAAUAACAGUUGGAAACGACUGCUAAUACCGGAUGAUGACGAAAGUCCAAAGAUUUAUCGCCAGAGGAUGAGCCCGCGUAGGAUUAGCUAGUUGGUGUGGUAAAGGCGCACCAAGGCGACGAUCCUUAGCUGGUCUGAGAGGAUGAUCAGCCACACUGGGACUGAGACACGGCCCAGACUCCUCCGGGAGGCAGCGGUGGGGAAUAUUGGAAAAGGGGCGAAAGCUUGAUCCAGAAUUGCCGGGUGAGUGAUGAAGGCCUUAGGGUUGUAAAGCUCUUUUACCCGGGAUGAUAAUGACAGUACCGGGAGAAUAAGCUCCGGCUAACUCCGUGCCAGCCGCCGCCGUAA
rnacentral:rRNA from 1 species